ensembl:lncRNA
CCCCGCGCCCUGGUCCGCUGGAGGGGCUACGCGCACCGUGCCGCCUCGCCCUGCGAAUCCCAGGGACCCCAGUGCGGUAUAAGCGCGGGAAGCAGGCGAGGGACCCGUUAGACGUGGAGUGGGGACGGAGUGGGGGGCGACAGACUGGGCUGGGAAAUUGCUAACCUGUCCCCGGAGACUGCUUUCUGAGAGCCCUGUCCCUUCCCCGGAAGAGGCCAAUUCCAGAGGGAGGUGAGUUUCCAAAGGAACCCUAGCCCAGAGGCGUCACCCUAGCCACUCAGUGACAGAACCCGGGACCCUGUGCAGAGGGGUCGGUAGUUGGGCGAGGUAGUCAAAGUGCUAUGGGGCGUGAAAAGACCGCUUCCUAAGAGCUGGGGUACAGAAAAAGGAGCUGGGGGAAGUAGGUGAGAAGAGAGACCACGUGGGUCCCUCAGCGCCUGCGUCGGGUGGCUGAGCCGGGCGCGGGUUGGAUUUGGGGGACAGUGCCCUCCACGUAGGGGAAGGCUCGUGGUCUCAGGAUCCGGGGUGAGGAAAGGCAGGUCUGAGGUGCCUGACUUGGUGUUGAGGACCGCGACUCCUUCCUCUUUCCCCCCAAAUCCCUUAGAUGACAGCAGGCGCCCGCCCCGGACAAUCUGAUUCUGGGCAGGGCGCAGCGGGGCUGGCAGGCGCCCGGGGAGGCAGGGAAGUUGCUUCCAAGGACUGGCCGCCCUCAACCUCCUUUAACACACAGCCGGGUGCAGCAGGGCAGCGGCGGACAUUUGUUUCCCAACUCUGGUCAAUGUGAAAGCAGCAACCCGUGCGUCCUGGACCCCAAGGUGGCUGUGUACCGUCGAGGUUUCUAACACUGCUUCCUUGGCAAAAGCGAUAACAAUACCGUGUAUCGGGAUGAGACUAAAGCCAGACGGCAACAACACAGCACACUUUCCCGGGCAGCGCCAGUGCGAGGUGCUUUGAAAGCACACGAGGCAACCCCGGAGGCCGAAGUGGAAGGGUCUCGCCCCGUGGGGCUGCUACCCUGUCUCAUCAUCGCUCCUUGGAGCCCUCCACUGACGAAAGCUCAGUCCAUGGUUUGCUGGCUCCAAUGCAGAAACAUCAUGACAGAAGAGUGUGAUAGACCAAAGCUGCAGAGUUCAUAGCAGCAAGACAAUGGAGCAGGGAAAAAGCACCAGAAAGGAAGAGGACAAGACCAGAGGAGCAGGCCCUAUGGUGCCUUGCUCACCAGAAGGAGAAUCCGGCAAACAAGUUCACUGAGCUUCUGAAAAUGUCUCUGAUCUGUCCUUUAAAACCUGUGUGUCUCUCAAGAAACAAGGAUGUCUAGUGCAGCAGAACCUAAAUUUAUACGGAUGAAAAACAAAAACCUCUCAAGUAGAUUACUUAGAAUUGGUGAUGAGAACAAGUCCUCGUAUCUCCAUCCUCAGUGUUCCAGGUCUCAGCGUUCUUCUUAGAGAAACACCACCCCAUGCCCCAAGCCUGCAAGUCACCCCAUCCCUGCACUAGUGCUUCAGUCCAUCUCAGAGGCACACAGCCCUUGAUUGCUGAAGCAGUACAUGGCAGGGCCAAUGGAUUCCUUCGUGUGAAUCGAUGUCAAUGCAAGAUCGCAGGAUGAUUCAUCAGACAUUUUCUGAGUCCUUGGGCUACCUCCCCAAGGCUUUGUGGGCAGAAGAAACAAACUCAGAGCUGGAAUAUGUAUCAAUCCCAGGAAAGACAAAUUGCUGUCCCUUCCAGAGCAGAAAAAAUCACAUGUAUUCAACUUGUCAUCAAGAAGCUGGAAGUGUAAAUAAG